rnacentral:rRNA from 1 species
UACGUAGGGUGCAAGCGUUGUCCGGAAUUAUUGGGCGUAAAGAGCUCGUAGGCGGUUUGUUGCGUCGGCUGUGAAAUCCCGAGGCUCAACCUCGGGUCUGCAGUCGAUACGAGCAAACUAGAGUGUUGCAGGGGAGACUGGAAUUCCUGGUGUAGCGGUGAAAUGCGCAGAUAUCAGGAAGAACACCCAUGGCGAAAGCAGCUCUCUGGGACGGUACUGACGCUGAGACGCGAAAGCGUGGGGAGCGAACAGG